GUGGGGAAUAUUGGACAAUGGGCGCAAGCCUGAUCCAGCAAUGCCGCGUGGGUGAAGAAGGUCUUCGGAUCGUAAAGCCCUUUCGACAGGGACGAUGAUGACGGUACCUGUAGAAGAAGCCCCGGCUAACUUCGUGCCAGCAGCCGCGGUAAUACGAAGGGGGCUAGCGUUACUCGGAAUUACUGGGCGUAAAGGGCGCGUAGGCGGCUCUGUUAGUCAGGCGUGAAAUUCCUGGGCUUAACCUGGGGACUGCGCUUGAUACUGCAGAGCUUGAGGCCGAGAGAGGGUGGUGGAAUUCCGAGUGUAGAGGUGAAAUUCGUAGAUAUUCGGAAGAACACCAGUGGCGAAGGCGACUCACUGGCCCAAUACUGACGCUGAGGCGCGAAAGUGUGGGGAGCAAACAGGAUUAGAAACCCCGGUAGUCC
rnacentral:rRNA from 1 species